CUGCGGAAGGAUCAUUAAUGAAUUUUAGGACUCUCUUUUUAGAGGUCCGACCCCUUCAUUUCCAUACACUGUGCACACACUUCUUUUCACACAUUUUAACACUAUAGUAUAAGAAUGUAACAGUCUCUUUAUUGAGCAUAAAUAAAAAUAAAACUUUCAGCAACGGAUCUCUUGGCUCUCGCAUCGAUGAAGAACGCAGCGAAUUGCGAUAAGUAAUGUGAAUUGCAGAAUUCAGUGAAUCAUCGAAUCUUUGAACGCACCUUGCACUCUUUGGUAUUCCGAAGAGUAUGUCUGUUUGAGUGUCAUGAAACUCUCAACCCCCCUAUUUUGUAAUGAGAUGGGCGUGGGCUUGGAUUAUGACUGUUGUCGGCGUAAUUGCCGGCUCAGUUGAAAUACACGAGCAACCCAUUUGAAAUAAACGGUUUGACUUGGCGUAAUAAUUAUUUCGCUAAGGACGUUUUCUUCAAAAGUAAGAGGUGCUUCUAAUGCGCUAUUACAGCACUUUAAAUUUUAGACCUCAAAUCAGUCAGGACUACCCGCUGAACUUAAGCAUAUCAAUA
rnacentral:rRNA from 1 species